UACAGAGGUCUCAAGCGUUGUUCGGAAUCAUUGGGCGUAAAGGGCGCGUAGGUGGUUCUGUAUGUCUACCGUGAAAGCGUACGGCUCAACCGUAUUUUGUCGGUAGAAACUGCAGGACUUGAGGCUGGGAGGGGCUGGUGGAAUUCCCUGUGUAGCGGUGAAAUGCGUAGAGAUGGGGGAGAACACUCGUGGCGAAGGCGGCCAGCUGGACCAGUUCUGACACUGAGGCGCGACAGCGUGGGGAGCAAACAGG
rnacentral:rRNA from 1 species